rnacentral:rRNA from 1 species
UUAUGGCUCAGGAAUGAACGCUAGCUACAGGCUUAACACAUGCAAGUCGAGGGGCAGCAUGAGAUUAGCUUGCUAAUCUUGAUGGCGACCGGCGCACGGGUGAGUAACGCGUAUCCAACCUUCCCUUAGUAGGGCAUAGCCCGGCGAAAGUCGGAUUAAUACCCUAUGUUCUCGUAGAGGACAUCUGAAAUGAAGCAAAGAUUUAUCGCUAAGGGAUGGGGAUGCGUCUGAUUAGGUAGUCGGCGGGGUAACGGCCCACCGAGCCUGCGAUCAGUAGGGGUUCUGAGAGGAAGGUCCCCCACAUUGGAACUGAGACACGGUCCAAACUCCUACGGGAGGCAGCAGUGAGGAAUAUUGGUCAAUGGGCGCGAGCCUGAACCAGCCAAGUAGCGUGCAAGGAUGACGGCCCUAUGGGUUGUAAACUGCUUUUAUGCGGGGAUAAAGUGCACCACGUGUGGUGUUUUGUAGGUACCGCAUGAAUAAGGACCGGCUAAUUCCGUGCCAGCAGCCGC